ensembl:lncRNA
CUCUGAUCCUAUACCAAGUGUCUGGUACACAGCAAGGACUCUAUAAAUACCAGUUUCCUUCUUCCCCUUGUAGAGCCAGCAAAGACUCCUUCCAGAGGAAGGAAUAAGUGAGGAAGUUGGGUUAGAAGCUCUCAAGCUGCCCCCGCCCCCCACCUGGCCAGCAUUACAAGCCUAAAGCUCUAUAGAAGUAUGGUUGAAGCUCCAGCCCACGUACAAUGAAAUGCAUGUGGCCCAUACCGUGGUAUCGCCAGGAGUCCUUUGGAGUGGAAUCAGAAAACCACUGUGAAAACAGGGGUGGAAAGAGAGGAACUGUGCACGAGGGUGCUUGGCUGAUGUCUGAAGUGCACGCGCACCCACUCUCCCAGGCGAGGCACAAAAGCAACCGCCUCCAGGCAAGCUGACUAGACCAUCAUGGCGCAUUGCUGACAUUGGAAUUACAUUAAAUUAUCACCACACGAGUGCCUUCCGCUGUUGUUUGUGUUCCAAAAUGUCCCAAUGAAUUCUAAAAGCAGCGCCAUGUUCCCUUAGAAGAAGAAAAACCUAAUGUUCUGUCCUUUAUCGGAACCCACUCAGGAAAACGAGCUCUCUGAAUGGGAGCUCUCCCUCCUUCUCUCCAGGGGACACAAGGAAACAGGGAGAAGUGAUUAAAGCUUUGGAUUAGUUCACAGGAAUGUUUCUUUUCUAUUGUUGCUUUAUCUUUACUCAAGCAGAAGUUGGCCUGAUAGAUCUCAGAUGAGAACCAAAGGGGAAGAUGUGGGGUGUGCACUGGGGUGCAGGGCAGGGGAAAUUUAAUGGUUGAUAUUUCCUGAGUGGCUCUCCAGGUGGUGAGACCGUGUUACCCUCCACUUUGUCACCUUGGUUCAUGGACAAAUGGUAUCUUUUGCUAACACAGGCAUGUGGUAACCCACAGAUUCCUAAGCUGUAUAUUACCACUGACCUUCCUUCCUCCUUCCUCCCUUCCUUCCUGAUCCUCUUCCAUCCACUUCUUUAUUCUGUAAAC